UACGUAGGCAGCAAGCGUUGUUCGGAAUUACUGGGCGUAAAGAGUGUGUAGGCGGUGCUCUAAGUCUGUUGUGAAAUCUCCCGGCUUAACCGGGAGGGUGCGGCGGAAACUGGAGUGCUUGAGGGUGGGAGAGGUAAGCGGAAUUCCUGGUGUAGCGGUGAAAUGCGUAGAUAUCAGGAGGAACACCUGUGGUGUAGACAGCUUACUGGACCACUUCUGAUGCUGAGACACGAAAGCGUGGGUAGCAAACAGG
rnacentral:rRNA from 1 species